rnacentral:rRNA from 1 species
UACAGAGGUCUCAAGCGUUGUUCGGAUUCAUUGGGCGUAAAGGGUGCGUAGGCGGCGCGGUAAGUCGGGUGUGAAAGUCAGGGGCUCAACCCUUGAAUGCCGGCGGAUACUGUCGGGCUAGGAGUCCGGAAGAGGCGAGUGGAAUUCCCGGUGUAGCGGUGAAAGUGACGCCGAGAUAGUCGGGAAGAACACCCGUGGCGAAGGCGGCUCUCUGGGACGGUACUGACGCGUGAGACGCGAAAAGCGUGGGGAGCGAACAGG